rnacentral:rRNA from 1 species
AGACCCGAAACCCGGUGAUCUAGCCAUGGGCAGGUUGAAGGUUGGGUAACACUAACUGGAGGACCGAACCGACUAAUGUUGAAAAAUUAGCGGAUGACCUGUGGCUGGGGGUGAAAGGCCAAUCAAACCGGGAGAUAGCUGGUUCUCCCCGAAAGCUAUUUAGGUAGCGCCUCGUGAAUUCAUCUCCGGGGGUAGAGCACUGUUUCGGCUAGGGGGCCAUCCCGGCUUACCAACCCGAUGCAAACUGCGAAUACCGGAGAAUGUUAUCACGGGAGACACACGGCGGGUGCUAACGUCCGUCGUGAAGAGGGAAACAACCCAGACCGCCAGCUAAGGUCCCAAAGUCAUGGUUAAGUGGGAAACGAUGUGGGAAGGCCCAGACAGCCAGGAUGUUGGCUUAGAAGCAGCCAUCAUUUAAAGAAAGCGUAAUAGCUCACUGGUCGAGUCGGCCUGCGCGGAAGAUGUAACGGGGCUAAACCAUGCACCGAAGCUGCGGCAGCGAACGUAUCACCCAAGACAACUUUAC